rnacentral:rRNA from 1 species
AAUUUAAUGAUUUAUAGUAUGUUAUUAUAAAUCAUUAAAUUUUGUUAUUUUUAUAAUUUUAAAUUUUUUAUUAAAAAAAAUUUUUUAAUCAAAUAAAAAUUGAUAUAAUGAUAAAAUUAGUAUAAUUUUUUGUAAAAUUACAUUUUUUAUGUAGAUUUAAUUAAGGAAUUCGGCAAAUUACUUUUUACCUGUUUAUUAAAAACAUGUCUUUUUGAUUAUAAUUUAAAGUCUGGCCUGCUCAAUGAAUAUUUAAAUAGCUGCGGUAUUUUGACCGUACAAAGGUAGCAUAAUCAAUAGUUUUUUAAUUGAAAACUGGAAUGAAGGGUUGCAUAAAAAAGUAACUGUCUCAAUUAAAUUUUAUUAGAAUUUUAUUUUUAAGUUCAAAAUCUUAAAUGUUUUUAAAAGACGAGAAGACCCUAUAGAGUUUAAUUUUUAUUUUUAAUUAAGUAUUAAGAAUUAAUAAUUUUUUUAAAAAUAAAAAUUUGAUUGGGGUGAUUGAUAAAUUUAAUAAACUUUAUUUUUUAAUUUUCAAUAAUUAUUGUUUUUUUGAUCCAAUUUAUUUGAUUAUAAGACUAAAUUACCUUAGGGAUAACAGCGUAAUUUAUUUUAAGAGUUCUAAUCAAAAAAUAAGAUUGCGACCUCGAUGUUGGAUUAAAAUUAAUAUUUGGUGAAGAAGCUAGAAUAUUAGGUCUGUUCGACCUUUAAAAUUUUACAUGAUCUGAGUUUAAACCGGUGUAAGCCAGGUUGGUUUCUAUCUUUAAAUAAAAUAAAAUUUUUUAGUACGAAAGGACCGAAAAUUUAAUUAAAAAUUUAUAUUUGAUGAUUGAUA